GACGAACCGUGCGAACGUUGUUCGGAAUUACUGGGCGUAAAGCGCACGCAGGCGGUUCGCCAAGUUUGGAGUGACAGUUGUCGGCUCAACCGACAAAGGACUUCAAAAACUGGUGAACUUGAGGACGAGAGAGGAACAUGGAACUCCAGGUGUAGUAGUGAAAUGCGUAGAUAUCUGGAAGAACACCAAUGGCGAAGGCAAUGUUCUGGCUCGUUUCUGACGCUCAGGUGCGAAAGCCAGGGGAGCGAACGGG
rnacentral:rRNA from 1 species